AAAUGGUUCACAUGUGUUCACUUUACAUUAAGGUUCACUUUCACAGGUUAUUAAUGUUCAUAACUCAUGAAUAAAUGGUUCACAGGUUUCCACUUUACAUUAAGGUUCACUUUCACAGGUUAUUAAUGUUUAUAACUCAUUAAUAAAUGGUUCACAGGUUUCCACUUUACAUUAAGGUUCACUUUCACAGGUUAUUAAUGUUUAUAACUCAUUAAUAAAUGGUUCACAGGUUUCCACUUUACAUUAAGGUUCACUUUCACAGGUUAUUAAUGUUUAUAACUCAUUAAUAAAUGGUUCACAGGUUUCCACUUUACAUUAAGGUUCACUUUCACAGGUUAUUAAUGUUUAUAACUCAUUAAUAAAUGGUUCACAGGUUUCCACUUUACAUUAAGGUUCACUUUCACAGGUUAUUAAUGUUUAUAACUCAUUAAUAAAUGGUUCACAGGUUUCCACUUUACAUUAAGGUUCACUUUCACAGGUUAUUAAUGUUUAUAACUCAUUAAUAAAUGGUUCACAGGUUUCCACUUUACAUUAAGGUUCACUUUCACAGGUUAUUAAUGUUUAUAACUCAUUAAUAAAUGGUUCACAGGUUUCCACUUUACAUUAAGGUUCACUUUCACAGGUUAUUAAUGUUUAUAACUCAUUAAUAAAUGGUUCA